GAUGAACGCUGGCGGCGUGCCUAAUACAUGCAAGUCGAGCGAACAGACGAGGAGCUUGCUCCUCUGACGUUAGCGGCGGACGGGUGAGUAACACGUGGAUAACCUACCUAUAAGACUGGGAUAACUUCGGGAAACCGGAGCUAAUACCGGAUAACAUGUUGAACCGCAUGGUUCAACAGUGAAAGACGGUUUUGCUGUCACUUAUAGAUGGAUCCGCGUCGCAUUAGCUAGUUGGUAAGGUAACGGCUUACCAAGGCAACGAUGCGUAGCCGACCUGAGAGGGUGAUCGGCCACACUGAAACUGAGACACGGUCCAGACUCCUACGGGAGGCAGCAGUAGGGAAUCUUCCGCAAGGGGCGAAAGCCUGAGGAGCAACGCCGCGUGAGUGAAGAAGGUCUUCGGAUCGUAAAACUCUGUUAUUAGGGAAGAACAAAUGUGUAAGUAACUAUGCACGUCUGGACGGUACCUAAUCAGAAAGCCACGGCUAACUACGU
rnacentral:rRNA from 1 species